rnacentral:lncRNA from 1 species
AUUUUUUCUAUUGGCAGAGGCAAACUGUGAUUCUAAGUAUGACACAGAGUCCUGAGAUGCAAUGAAGACAAUCUCCAUCAAUUCUCUCCUCAUAUCUUUUUCUAGACCCCUCAAUCCCCAGUCGACUUCUCUGUGCGAGGUCCAAGGGUCAGUGUCAGUGUAAGCGAUGAGAGUGGAGAAUGUGAGAGUCCUAAAUGUGGGCCUGCAGUAAAGGGAGAUGUGUUCCCAUCAUUCCAUGAGAAACUCUGAAGGAAGAUUCCUUGGGAGCACUGGCACACUUGGAGAUACUGUGCUAUUGGAGAGAAGAUUAUAUUGAAUGGAGUGUUCCUAAUGUCUGUAGUGAUGGAAUUCCAGACACACAAGUUAGUGAUCAGCUUUGUCUGUCUUCCUGUAGAUCUACUGUGCAUGAGUCCAAAUUUGAGGUACAGGAAACACAGGAGUCAACCAAACAGGCCAAGUCCCUGCUUUCAUGGAGACUAC